rnacentral:rRNA from 1 species
GUGGGGAAUAUUGGACAAUGGGCGCAAGCCUGAUCCAGCCAUGCCGCGUGAGUGAUGAAGGCCUUAGGGUUGUAAAGCUCUUUCGUCCGGGACGAUAAUGACGGUACCGGAAGAAGAAGCCCCGGCUAACUUCGUGCCAGCAGCCGCGGUAAUACGAAGGGGGCUAGCGUUGCUCGGAAUCACUGGGCGUAAAGGGCGCGUAGGCGGCCAUUCAAGUCAGAGGUGAAAGCCCAAGGCUCAACCUUGGAAUUGCCUUUGAUACUGUUUGGCUUGAGACCGGAAGAGGUUAGUGGAACUGCGAGUGUAGAGGUGAAAUUCGUAGAUAUUCGCAAGAACACCAGUGGCGAAGGCGGCUAACUGGUCCGGUUCUGACGCUGAGGCGCGAAAGCGUGGGGAGCAAACAGGAUUAGAAACCCCUGUAGUCC